CUCUAGGAGGCCGGUAAAAAACAGGCGGGGUUCGGUCAUGGCCAGAUUGAACGACAGGCGGAUGCUUUUAUACAUGCGUCGAACGGCAGCACGACCUUCGUCUGAAGGCGAGGCAACAGGUGAAGGCCAAAUCAACGGCCUAAAGAGUGGGGAUACUGCCGGUGCGUAGCCAAUAAUGCAUGGCCACCUUCGGAAGUGGGGACCUUCGCCUCGCACUAUUAGGAGCGGCCGAUAUCGGAUUAGCUAGUUGGUGGGGUAACGGCUCACCAAGGCGACGAUCCGUAGCUGGUUUGAGAGGACGACGACCAGCCACACUGGGACCGAGACACGGCCCAGACUGCCGGAGGCAGUGGGGAAUUUUGGACAAUGGGGAAACCCUGAUCCAGCCAUCCCGCGUGUGCGAUGAAGGCCUUCGGGUUGUAAAGCACUUUGGCAGGUGGGAAAGAAACGGCACGGGAUAAUACCCCGUGCAACUGACGGUACCUGCAGAAUAAGCACCGCUAACUACGCCAGCAGCCGCGGUAAUACGUAGGGUGCAAGCGUUAAUCGGAAUUACUGGGUAAAGCGUGCGCAGGCGGUUCGGAAAGAAAGAUGUGAAAUCCCAGAGCUUAACUUUGGAACUGCAUUUUUAACUACCGAGCUAGAGUGUGUCAGAGGGAGGUGAAUUCGCGUAGCAGUGAAUGCGUAGAUAUGCGGAGGAACACCGAUGGCGAAGGCAGCCUCCUGGGAUAACACUGACGCUCAUGCACGAAAAGCGUGGGGAGCAAACAGGAUUAGAUACCCUGGUAGUCCACGCCCUAAACGAUGUCAAUCCGCUGUUGGGGCCUUUCGGGCCUUGGUAGCGCAGCUAACGCAGGAAGUUGACCGCCUGGGGAGUACGGUCGCAAGAUUAAAACUCAAAGGAAUUGACGGGGACCCGCACAAGCGGUGGAUGAUGUGGAUUAAUCGAUGCAACGCGAAAAACCUUACCUACCCUUGACAUGUCUGGAAUCCCGAAGAGAUUUGGGAGUGCUCGCAAGAGAACCGGAACACAGGUGCUGCAUGGCUGUCGUCAGCUCGUGUCGUGGGAUGUUGGGUUAAGUCCCGCAACGAGCGCAACCCGUCAUUAGUUGCUACGAAAGGGCACUCUAAUGAGACUGCCGGUGACAAACUGGAGGAAGGUGGGGAUGACGUCAAGUCCUCAUGGCCCUUAUGGGCAGGGCUUCACACGUCAUACAAUGGUCGGGACAGAGGGUCGCCAACCCGCGAGGGGGAGCAAUCCCAGAACCUGAUCGGGUCCGGAUCGCAGUUCGCAACUCGACCGCGUGAAGUCGGAAUCGCUAGUAAUCGCGGAUCAGCAUGUCGCGGUGAAUACGUUCCCGGGUUCUGUACACACUGCCCGUCACACCAUGGGAGUGGGUUUUACCAGAAGUAGUUAGCCUAACCGUAAGGAGGGCGAUUACCACGGUAGGAUUCAUGACUGGGUGAAGUCGUAACAAGGUAG
rnacentral:rRNA from 1 species